UUUUUGACUUUAAAGACUACAAUAUUUUACAUGUAUAUUUCAUAAUUGUAUACAGAAAACCCAAAUGAACCAUGCAUUGUCCCAGACUUCUUGGCAAGGUCUUUGUCAAAUCUGUUUCUGAUUCCACAAACAUCAACAAUGGGAAGCUGGCUCGUAAUUAAGUAAUCAUGCAGAUGCACCUGAGGAAGGAGCAGUGAUCUCAUCAAUGAAAGGGAUGUUGUCG
rnacentral:lncRNA from 1 species